rnacentral:rRNA from 1 species
UACGGAGGAUGCAAGCGUUAACCGGAUUUAUUGGGUUUAAAGGGUGCGCAGGUUGUUUGAUAAGUCAGUGGUGAAAGUCUGUCGCUUAACGGUAGGAUUGCCAUUGAUACUGUUGGACUUGAAUAUGGAUGAGGUAGGCGGAAUGUGUAGUGUAGCGGUGAAAUGCAUAGAUAUUACACAGAACACCGAUUGCGAAGGCAGCUUACUAAUCCAUCAUUGACGCUGAGGCACGAAGGCGUGGGGAUCAAACAGGAUUA